UAGUCCACGCCCUAAACGAUGCUUACUCGAUGUUUGGACUUAGGUUUGAGCAUCCAAGGGAAACCAUUAAGUAGACCGCCUGGGGAGUACGGCCGCAAGGUUAAAACUCAAAUGAAUUGACGGGGGCCCGCACAAGUGGUGGAGCAUGUGGUUUAAUUCGAUGCAACGCGAAGAACCUUACCUACUCUUGACAUCCAGUGAAGCAGAAAGAGAUUUUUGUGUGCCUUCGGGAACACUGAGACAGGUGCUGCAUGGCUGUCGUCAGCUCGUGUUGUGAAAUGUUGGGUUAAGUCCCGCAACGAGCGCAACCCCUAUCCUUAGUUGCCAGCGCGUAAUGGCGGGAACUCUAGGGAGACUGCCGGUGAUAAACCGGNGGAAGGUGGGGACGACGUCAAGUCAUCAUGGCCCUUACGAGUAGGGCUACACACGUGCUACAAUGGCGUAUACAAAGGGCAGCCAACCAGCAAUGGUGCGCGAAUCCCAUAAAGUACGUCGUAGUCCGGAUUGGGGUCUGCAA
rnacentral:rRNA from 1 species